GUCGUAAAGUGCAGUCUCAGAACACUGCCGAGGAUUGCACUGAAGCUCCGGAGGUAUAGCAGGCGGGGAGGCGCGAGCGCUUUAAGGUCGUAACAGCUCUCCCGGCCACGCGUCUUGCCACUGCACUUAUUAAUUGAUGAGUUGGAGAACAAACGUGGACAAGACAGACACCAGCGAUGCAGACCCAGCUAAAAUCAAAAUGUUCUCGAAUCCUUAUAAAAUCAAACCCCUGGCCGUAUAAAAGCUACCACUUUGACUACAAAUGCAAGAAAGACAACAGCUUUAUUAUGCAGUGUAAGCUGGGCUAUAAAAACUCAACAUCAAACCUGCGCAAGCAUGUUGAGGGUUGGAAAUUAACGGGGACUUGAGGCGAUUUAAGUGUCAUAUAUAAUAAAUAAAAUGUUAUUUAUUAAAGUAAAUCUGCUGAUGUUGCAUUAGAUUUGAGCAUAACCGUUCACAUACUUAUGUUGAGAAUGCAGUGUCCAAUCAAAGCAUUUUGAUUCGUUGCUGCGGAAAAUGUUGGAGAUGUUCUAUGCGUGUGCUCACUGUCUAAAUUCUGCAUUUGUGAUUUCUCUCAUUAUAAUAAAUUAUACAAUAUCCCUUUUUUUUUCGGCGAAAUGCAUAACCCACAUUAGA